GGCCAACAACCAUAUUGUAACGUAUGUCGGAGGUCUCAUUAUGCCGUUGUUAUCGUGGAGAGUAUGAUGGACAUCGAUCGCCCAUCGUUGAAUUUUUUUUAUCUAGUAAAAAUGGUUUCAAUCUUCAAAUUUGACAGUGAAUUUUGGUAAAAAAAAAAAGAACUCUGCAGGCUUCCAGUACCCACCUUUCUCUCAUAAUAACUGAGGGUCUGAGGAACAAAAAUGGAUUCAACGUGAUUAAAUGUCAUGAUGGAAUUGUGGUACGAUGGUACGAAGCACACGAAUAAUAUGUAUACCAGAGGUAUUGGUUAGUAAGAUUAUAACAGUAUACAGUCAGUAUUAUUACCUUUGACCAGAAUAUUUUAGAAUUAAUAUUUACUGAAAUUUAUCCAAUUAAUAUCCACAGAUGUAUUAAUGCAAUAGUGCUGCAUUAAUACAUAUUACUUAUAUAUGAGUAUAUUUUAAUACACAGUAAGUCUUAUUUUAUAUACAACGAUAAAUCAAUAUUUUUGAUAAUUAUUAUGAUACUGCAGGAAUGGGACGAUAGUGAAAUGAACAAAAUAAAUAACUAACCAAUAUUACACUCAAAGUAAGACCAAACCAUUAUUCAAUUUAUUACCUAGUUGAAAUACAAUAGGUAAGUUAUUAUUUAUAAUAACGUAUCACAUAUACAUUAACGCCAACUAUAGGCGCAACUAGAGUCAAAAUGAUUGGGGUUUUAUAAAGGGCUCAACAAAACAUGAACGCAAGCUUAAUUCCCCACAUCUCUGUAAACGUUUAUUUUUUUAAGAAUACAACUAAUGACUUUAACACAAAAUAAUAAUAAUGUAAAAACCGCUCC